AUAGCCGUGUUUCGAGUUCCUCCGGAACACCCGGGAUUUUUCGUAUUUAGCCACGCCGGUCACGUGAUAUGAGCAAAAUGUUCCACAGGGGUACUUCCGGUUAAUUUUGUUUACACUGGUAACAAAAUUGUUUUUGACAAAAUAUAGAUUUUGCGGCACAAACUGUCGCAAAUCAGAUAAAGGAUAGCAAGGGAUAUAUAUUUACUUGGGAAGAUGUCAAAGUUUACCUUUUCCCAAACCCGGGAAAAGCGUUCACGCAGAGGAAACGAUGGCGUCAUUUGUGUAGAAAACCACGAGCAGCCGAAAUUGAGUGCGAUUAUUACAUUCCGUGAAAGCUGAACCAACAAAGAAACAUCAUUGUUCUAGCCAGUUUCCUUAUAUUAACUUUUAGGAAAACCAAGAGGUUGAUAACAAUGGCUGAUCUGCAUAUAAUGACUGCUAGUUAUUGGCUGGUAUGCAGUGAAAGGGAGCUAAAAAGGAGUAAAAAGUUCAUAUCAGCCAGGUGAGAAUUAAUUUCUUCUUUUUUGUGUGUUAUACAUAUGUAAUUCUUUUCUUUUGCUGCUUCAAAUCUUGUGUAUUUGAAAAUUUUCAGUCUAAUAUUUUGGCAAUGUUAUAGGUAGUGUGGCUUAAAUAAACCAGUGUUAAGGAAUAUCCAGUAAUGGCAUGACAUCAUGAGAGUUUGGCAUACCGACAUUCAGAUGAUUAAUGAUGAAACUGAAGACCUCAAGUGAAAGGCAUGGAAAAUGAUCCUGUUCCCAUAUACCUGAAAAAGAGGAGGGAUGCCACAAUAUUGAUAAUAGACUUUUGUCAAUUUGAGAAGCAAAGAUGUAAAAAAUAAAAAAAAAAAUAAUGAAAUUAUAAUUCAUGUAUUUGUUAAAAAUACUGUUCACUGUACAUACAUGUAUAUUUUUUUUAACUUAUUUGGAAAUACAUGAAGUAAUUCAUAUUAAAACUGGGAAUGUAUGAAUUUUCAUGAUUUUUAUCAAUAAAGCUUACCAUAUUUAUUGUACAUA